rnacentral:misc_RNA from 1 species
GUUUUGGGGAAUUUGUGAAGAUUGAAAGUCUAGGUCGGAAAAAGCAUAUCAACACAAAAUGGCGUUCUAGCAACUAAACCGGAAGUGACCUUAUCACAGCUUCUAGACAAGAUACAGACAUGCGGAAAAUGUUUUGGAAAGCAAUACAAAAUGGUGUUACAGCAAUCAAACCUGAAGUUGACCUUUUCACAGCCUCGAGACAAGAUAGAGAUAUGCGCAAUACAAAAAGACGUGUCAGCAACUAAACCGGAAUUGACCUUAUCACAGCUUCUAGACAAGAUAAAGAUAUGCGGAAAAUGUUUUGGAAAGGUGUCGUCAAAACCAUGUUAUCACUAAAAAGUUGACCGCUGGUCAUGCAGUUUGCGUGCUUACAUUUCGUCCACUGUAUCGCCUCCUGUCUGUGAACGGAAGAAGAACUUAUUAGCUUGCAUAUCAUCAUAUUAGCACAACAGCACACGCAGGUUCUAUCCGGCCGAGGUCAAAAUCAACCUCGAGAAGAAAAGUUGCGUUCUAACGUCAUCUAACACGGAGAAACACCAAGACUUACAUCUACAGGAAAUAAUAAUAGUCCUUAUUUAUACUUGAUGACAAAGUUGAGUUAACGACUUGUCUUACAUUUUUUUAAUUUUAGAAAUGUUCUGAUCCGAACCUCUCUGAUUAUUUUCUGUGCUGUCAGGGUUCUAUUCACGUGUUUAAUCAUGGCGUCAAAGUAUGGUCGAGAUUGUAUUGUUAUGGUGUUUGCAAUGCAUAGAAUCUUGCACAAAAUAUUAAUUUAUAAUUUAGACGCUGGCUCAAAUAGGGCCACCGAAAAAUAAAAUCACUAUUUUCUAAUUGUUUCUAUGUAAUAAUAGGAACCUGUUAAACACUAAUUUCAACAGCAUAUAUAUAUAUAUAUAUUUGAAGUGACCUGCCCCACGCUGCAACAUUUACUGCUAAAUGGUAGUAGUCCUUGUACAUGUAUAUCUACUGCUAAUAUUUCCAUUGAGGUCUCAUCAGUAUAUAGUUUAUAGGUAAAUGUGUUCCUCAAGGCACAUUGACCUCCUAACCUGCAUCUCUGUUCCAACCUCUAUCAUAUGAUACCGACACAUUUAAAUAUGACCCUGGACAAUAUUUUCUUUACACCCAAAUGUCAACCUAUAAUUGUAUUCAUGAUGUAUAUGAAUAUGAUCGAACAACAGGCUACGUCUAUAUCAGUUUUCGUCUGCCUGUAUUUGUAUGUAACAGUAUAUAUAUGUAUAUAUAUACUAAUUUACAGUGAAAUGAAAAACUGAAACAAGAUACACAAUUGAUAUACAAAAAGGCAAUGGUAUAAGGAAGAUAACUCAAAUUGGUUGUAAAAAAAUAGCAUUCAGUCGGUGCUGUAGCUUGACCUCAUCAAGCUAAUGAGUCAAUAUUGCCCAUCGACCUUCACGAGAUCUUCCCUGGGAAUUCAAGAUCCACAAAAAGUGACCCGUAGAUAGUUAAAUAUAAAUAUAUUCAUAUACUAGUCUUUGCAUAUUAUAUAUUAUGCCAAUCUUGUAAGGUAUAUUAACAUACUCAUUAUAAUAUAGUGAAAAUAUAAUUAUAAAAACAACUUGUUUCUACUUUACUAAGCACAAUUCAAUGUUGAUUAAUGGGGCAAGCAUAGUCACAUAGUGUACAGCCAGUUUAUAGGUUUGGUUUUAUUUUUUUCACAUCCUAUUACUAGCUUAGGUCAUUUAAGGACGUGCCUCCGUGUAUUUUGUGGAUACCUGCAUGUGUGUCAGUUUGCUGGAGACAGGGUAUGUUGGAGUAUGUGCCUCCUUAUGAUAGCGC